rnacentral:rRNA from 1 species
AGAGUCUGAUCCUGGCUUAGGAUGAACGCUAGCUACAGGCUUAACACAUGCAAGUCGAGGGGCAGCAUUGGGGUAGCAAUACUCAGAUGGCGACCGGCGCACGGGUGAGUAACACGUAUCCAACCUGCCGCUUACUCGGGGAUAGCCUUUCGAAAGAAAGAUUAAUACCCGAUGGUAUAAAGAGUUCGCAUGUUCUCUUUAUUAAAGAAUUUCGGUAAGCGAUGGGGAUGCGUUCCAUUAGAUAGUUGGCGGGUAACGGCCCACCAAGUCUACGAUGGAUAGGGGUUCUGAGAGGAAGGUCCCCCACAUUGGAACUGAGACACGGUCCAAACUCCUACGGGAGGCAGCAGUGAGGAAUAUUGGUCAAUGGGCGAGAGCCUGAACCAGCCAAGUCGCGUGAAGGAAAAGAAGGAUCUAUGGUUCGUAAACUUCUUUUGCAGGGGAAUAAAGUGCAGGACGUGUCCUGUUUUGUAUGUACCCUGAGAAUAAGGAUCGGCUAACUCCGUGCCAGCAGCAGC